GCGAACUCUGGGCAAGUGGCAGCGGUAAUAAAGAGGGGGAAAGAGUGAAGCGGAAUAACGUGGCUUAAAGCGCACGCAGGAGGUUAGAUAAGUCAGAGGUGAAAGCCCCGGGCUCAACGUGGGAAUUGCAGUGAAAACUGGCCAGCUAGAGUCAUGUAGAGGGGGGUAGAAUUCCAGGUGUAGCGGUGAAAUGCGUAGAGAUCUGGAGGAAUACCGGUGGCGAAGGCGGCUCCCUGGCAUCAUACUGACACUGAGGUUCGAAAGCGUGGGUAGCAAACAGGAUUAGAUACCCCUGUAGUC
rnacentral:rRNA from 1 species